rnacentral:rRNA from 1 species
UACGGAGGGUGCAAGCGUUAAUCGGAAUUACUGGGCGUAAAGCGUGCGCAGGCGGUUUGUUAAGUCCGUUGUGAAAGCCCCGAGCUCAACUUGGGAAUUGCAGUGGAUACUGGCAGGCUGGAGUACGGAAGAGGAGAGUGGAAUUCCCGGUGUAGCGGUGAAAUGCGCAGAUAUCGGGAAGAACACCCGUGGCGAAGGCGGCUCUCUGGGACGGUACUGACGCUGAGACGCGAAAGCGUGGGGAGCGAACAGG